rnacentral:rRNA from 1 species
GAUGAACGCUGGCGGCGUGCCUAAUACAUGCAAGUCGAGCGAAUGGAUUAAGAGCUUGCUCUUAUGAAGUUAGCGGCGGACGGGUGAGUAACACGUGGGUAACCUGCCCAUAAGACUGGGAUAACUCCGGGAAACCGGGGCUAAUACCGGAUAACAUUUUGAACCGCAUGGUUCGAAAUUGAAAGGCGGCUUCGGCUGUCACUUAUGGAUGGACCCGCGUGGCAGUAGCUAGUUGGUGAGGUAACGGCUCACCAAGGCAACGAUGCGUAGCCGACCGGGGAGGGUGAUCGGCCACACUGGGACUGAGACACGGCCCAGACUCCUACGGGAGGCAGCAGUAGGGAAUCUUCCGCAAUGGACGAAAGUCUGACGGAGCAACGCCGCGUGAGUGAUGAAGGCUUUCGGGUCGUAAAACUCUGUUGUUAGGGAAGAACAAGUGCUAGUUGAAUAAGCUGGCACCUUGACGGUACCUAACCAGAAAGCCACGGCUAACUACGUGCCAGCAGCCGCGGUAA